rnacentral:rRNA from 1 species
UACAGAGGUCUCAAGCGUUGUUCGGAUUCAUUGGGCGUAAAGGGUGCGUAGGCGGCGCGGUAAGUCGGAUGUGAAAUCUCGGAGCUUAACUUCGAAACUGCAUUCGAUACUGCCGUGCUUGAGGACUGGAGAGGAGACUGGAAUUUACGGUGUAGCGGUGAAAUGCGUAGAUAUUGGGAGGAACACCAGUGGCGAAGGCGGCUCACUGGACCGGUACUGACGCUGAUGCGCGAAAGCGUGGGGAGCGAACAGG